rnacentral:rRNA from 1 species
CGGCUCAGUAACACGUGGAUAACCUACCCUCAGAUCUGGGAUAACUCCGGGAAACUGGAGAUAAUACCGGAUAAUCCGUGAACGCUGGAAUGCCUUACGGUUGAAAGCUUUAGCGUCUGAGGAUGGGUCUGCGGCCGAUUAGGUAGUUGCUGGGGUAACGUCCCAACAAGCCGAUAAUCGGUACGGGUUGUGAGAGCAAGAGCCCGGAGAUGGAUUCUGAGACACGAAUCCAGGUCCUACGGGGCGCAGCAGGCGCGAAAACUUUACACUGCGCGAAAGCGCGAUAAGGGGACCUCGAGUGCGUGCGCAAAGCGUACGCUUUUCAGAUGCCUAAAAAGCAUCUGGAAUAAGGGCCGGGCAAGACCGGUGCCAGCCGCCGCGGUAACACCGGCGGCUCAAGUGGUGGCCGCUAUUAUUGGGCUUAAAGGGUCCGUAGCCGGACCAGUUAGUCCCUUGGGAAAUCUUACGGCUUAACCGUAAGGCUGCCAAUGGAUACUGCUGGUCUUGGGACCGGGAGAGGCAAGAGGUACCUCAGGGGUAGGAGUGAAAUCCUGUAAUCCUUGAGGGACCGCCAGUGGCGAAGGCGUCUUGCUAGAACGGGUCCGACGGUGAGGGACGAAAGCUAGGGGCACGAACCGGAUUAGAUACCCGGGUAGUCCUAGCC